rnacentral:rRNA from 1 species
UGGCGAACGGGUGAGUAACACGUGAGUAACCUGCCCUCCACUUCGGGAUAACCUCGGGAAAUCGUGGCUAAUACCGGAUAUGAAUCCUUGUCGCAUGGCGGGGGUUGGAAAGAUUUAUCGGUGGGGGAUGGACUCGCGGCCUAUCAGUUUGUUGGUGAGGUAAUGGCUCACCAAGACGAUGACGGGUAGCCGGCCUGAGAGGGCGACCGGCCACACUGGGACUGAGACACGGCCCAGACUCCUACGGGAGGCAGCAGUGGGGAAUAUUGCACAAUGGGCGAAAGCCUGAUGCAGCGACGCCGCGUGAGGGAUGACGGCCUUCGGGUUGUAAACCUCUUUCAGUAGGGAAGAAGCGAGAGUGACGGUACCUGCAGAAGAAGCGCCGGCUAACUACGUGCCAGCAGCCGCGGUAAUACGUAGGGCGCAAGCGUUGUCCGGAAUUAUUGGGCGUAAAGAGCUUGUAGGUGGCUUGUCGCGUCUGCCGUGAAAACCCGAGGCUCAACCUCGGGCGUGCGGUGGGUACGGGCAGGCUAGAGUGUGGUAGGGGAGACUGGAACUCCUGGUGUAGCGGUGAAAUGCGCAGAUAUCAGGAAGAACA